AUGGCUGUGCCACUCACAUAUGCUAAUCUUGGCAAAUCUGCCAAGCAUGUCUUCACCAAGGGAUAUGGAUUUGGCUUAAUAAAACCUGAUUUGAAAACAAAAUCUUAGAAUGGAUUGGAAUUUACAAGCUCAGGCUCAGCCAACACUUAGACCACCAAUGUGACAGGCAGUCUGGAAACCACGUACAGAUAGAGCGAAUAUGGCCUGACAUUUACAAGGAAAUGGAACACUGACAACACUCUAGGCACCGAGAUUACUAUGGGAGAUCAGUUAACAUGUGGACUGAAGCUGACCCUCCAUUCAUCCUUCUCCCCUAACACUGGGGGGGAAAUGCUAAAAUCAAGACAGGAUACAAGCGGGAGCACAUUAACCUGGGCUGCGACAUGGAUUUGGACGUUGCUGGGCCUUCAGUCCGAGGCGCUCUAAGUGCUGGGUUAUGAGGGUUGGCUGGCCGGCUACCAGGUGAAUUUUGAGACCACGAAGUCCUGAGUGACGCAGAGCAACUUUGCGGUUGGCCACAAGACUGAAUUCUAGCUUCACACUAAUGUGAAUGACAGGACAGUUUGGCAGGUCCAAUUACCAGAAGGUGAGCAAGAAGUUGGAGACUGCUGUCAGUUUCUCUGGGACAGCAGGAAACAGUAACACUCACUUUGGAAUAGCAGCCAAGUAUCAGAUCGACCCUAAAGCCCACUUCUCCACUAAAGUGAACAACUCCAGCCUGAUAGGUUUAGGAUACACUCAAAGCCUAAAGCCAGGUAUCAAACUGACACUGUCAGCUCUCCUGGGUGGCAAGAACAUCUAUGCUGGUGGCCACAAACUUGGUCUAGGACUGGAAUUUCAAGCAUAAAUGAAUGCUGUAGAAUUGUUUAAAUCAUUUUGCAGCAUAGCUGCCUUCAGAAUUUAGUGUAUCUUUUAAUGUAUGUCUGGGUUGCAAGUAUUGCUAAAUGUCAUGUUGGACCUCCAAGUUAAAGAUGAUUCAGCUUUAAGGUGUUACCCUUUCAGAGGUACAGAAGAAACCCAGUUCCAAAAAGGUCCUUUCAGUGGUAGAUUUGGGGAACUUGGUGGCCCCUGUAGAGAUGCCAGGUUUCUUUUUUAUCUAGAAAUGGCUGCAAGUGGAAGCUGAUAAUAUAUAGGCACCUUGUAAAUUCAUAUUGAGUAAAUGAAUGAAAUUG